GAUGAACGCUGGCGGCGUGCCUAAUACAUGCAAGUCGAGCGAACAGACGAGGAGCUUGCUCCUCUGACGUUAGCGGCGGACGGGUGAGUAACACGUGGAUAACCUACCUAUAAGACUGGGAUAACUUCGGGAAACCGGAGCUAAUACCGGAUAAUAUAUUGAACCGCAUGGUUCAAUAGUGAAAGACGGUUUUGCUGUCACUUAUAGAUGGAUCCGCGCCGCAUUAGCUAGUUGGUAAGGUAACGGCUUACCAAGGCAACGAUGCGUAGCCGACCUGAGAGGGUGAUCGGCCACACUGGAACUGGGACACGGACCAGACGCCUACGGGAGGCAGCAGUAGGGAAUCUUCCGCAAUGGGCGAAAGCUUGACGGAGCAACGCCGCGUGAGUGAUGAAGGUCUUCGGAUCGUAAAACUCUGUUAUUAGGGAAGAACAAAUGUGUAAGUAACUAUGCACGUCUUGACGGUACCUGAUCAGAAAGCCACGGCUAACUACGUG
rnacentral:rRNA from 1 species